GUCUGAAUCAGACUAAUUUCAGUCCCGUUCUAACCCUUGCCGGGUCUACUUAAACCCUAGCUUCUCAAAUUCUCCUCUCUAAAAUCUGUCUUCCGAGUUCACUGGCUCCACUCACCAGUAUCCAAUAUGGCGGACACUGUGCAAUACCGGCUAGAACGCAUGGUCGACGAGCUCGACGACUUAGAGAAGCGAGGACUGUUCACGCGUCGCGAGAUAGCUGAGAUCGUGAAGCAGAGGCGAAAGUUCGAAUAUAGAUUGAAGAGACCGAGUCCACUUAAGCAGGACUACUUGGCCUACAUAGAGUACGAGAUUCAGCUCGACUCUCUUCGCCGCCUUCGAAAGAAAUCUGUGUCGCGUGAGCUUAAAAAGAAGGGAAAUAAGAAAAUAAAGAUGUCGGUGUCUGAUUUUGCUGGCGUUUCGAGAAUCGUCGACAUUUAUAGGCUUUCUGUAAUGAGAUAUAAGGGAGAUAUUGAGCUGUGGUUUCGAUAUUUGGAGUUUUGUAGGGAGCGAAGGAAUGGCAGAAUGAAAAAG
rnacentral:misc_RNA from 1 species